rnacentral:rRNA from 1 species
AGUGAACGCUGGCGGUAGGCCUAACACAUGCAAGUCGAACGGCAGCACAGUAAGAGCUUGCUCUUACGGGUGGCGAGUGGCGGACGGGUGAGGAAUACAUCGGAAUCUACUUUUUCGUGGGGGAUAACGUAGGGAAACUUACGCUAAUACCGCAUACGACCUACGGGUGAAAUCAGGGGAUCUUCGGACCUUGCGCGAUUGAAUGAGCCGAUGUCGGAUUAGCUAGUUGGAGGGGAAAAGGCCCACUAAGGCGACGAUCCGUAGCUGGUCUGAGAGGAUGAUCAGCCACACGAGAACUGAGACACGGUCCAGACUCCUAAGGGAGGCAGCAGUCGGGAAUAUUCGACAAUGGGCGCAAGCCUGAUCCAGCCAUACCGCGUGAGUGAAGAAGGCCUUCGGGUUGUAAAGCCCUUUUGUUGGGAAAGAAAAGCAGCAGGUUAAUACCCCGCUGUUCUGACGGUACCCAAAGAAUAAGCAACGGCUAACUUCGUG